ACUCCUACGGGAGGCAGCAGUGGGGAAUUUUGCGCAAUGGGCGAAAGCCUGACGCAGCAACGCCGCGUGGGUGAUGAAGGUCUUCGGAUCGUAAAACCCUGUCGUCAGGGACGAAGGUUGGCAGCUGAAGAAGCAGUCAGCUUGACGGUACCUGGAGAGGAAGCCCCGGCUAACUCUGUGCCAGCAGCCGCGGUAAUACAGAGGGGGCAAGCGUUAUUCGGAAUUAUUGGGCGUAAAGGGCGCGUAGGCGGUGUCUUAAGUGGGACGUGUAAUCCCCGGGCUUAACCUGGGAACUGCAUUCCAGACUGGGACGCUAGAGUGCUGGAGAGGGUGGUAGAAUUCCACGUGUAGCGGUGAAAUGCGUAGAGAUGUGGAGGAAUACCAGUGGCGAAGGCGGCCACCUGGACAGUAACUGACGCUGAGGCGCGAAAGUGUGGGUAGCAAACAGGAUUAGAUACCCUGGUAGUC
rnacentral:rRNA from 1 species